AUUGAACGCUGGCGGCAGGCCUAACACAUGCAAGUCGAGCGGAUGAAGGGAGCUUGCUCCUGGAUUCAGCGGCGGACGGGUGAGUAAUGCCUAGGAAUCUGCCUGGUAGCGGGGGAUAACGUCCGGAAACGGGCGCUAAUACCGCAUACGUCCUGAGGGAGAAAGUGGGGGAUCUUCGGACCUCACGCUAUCAGAUGAGCCUAGGUCGGAUUAGCUAGUUGGUGGGGUAAAGGCCUACCAAGGCGACGAUCCGUAACUGGUCUGAGAGGAUGAUCAGUCACACUGGAACUGAGACACGGUCCAGACUCCUACGGGAGGCAGCAGUGGGGAAUAUUGGACGAUGGGCGGAAGCCUGAUCCAGCCAUGCCGCGUGUGUGAAGAAGGUCUUCGGAUUGUAAAGCACUUUUAGUUGGGAAGAAGGGCUGUAAGUUAAUACCUUGCUGUUUUGACGUUACCAACAGAAUAAGCACCGGCUAACUUCGUG
rnacentral:rRNA from 1 species